rnacentral:rRNA from 1 species
GCGGCGUGCCUAAUACAUGCAAGUAGAACGCUGAAGAGAGGAGCUUGCUCUUCUUGGAUGAGUUGCGAACGGGUGAGUAACGCGUAGGUAACCUGCCUUGUAGCGGGGGAUAACUAUUGGAAACGAUAGCUAAUACCGCAUAACAAUGGAUGACACAUGUCAUUUAUUUGAAAGGGGCAAUUGCUCCACUACAAGAUGGACCUGCGUUGUAUUAGCUAGUAGGUGAGGUAAUGGCUCACCUAGGCGACGAUACAUAGCCGACCUGAGAGGGUGAUCGGCCACACUGGGACUGAGACACGGCCCAGACUCCUACGGGAGGCAGCAGUAGGGAAUCUUCGGCAAUGGGGGCAACCCUGACCGAGCAACGCCGCGUGAGUGAAGAAGGUUUUCGGAUCGUAAAGCUCUGUUGUAAGUCAAGAACGGGUGUGAGAGUGGAAAGUUCACACUGUGACGGUAGCUUACCAGAAAGGGACGGCUAACUACGUGCCAGCAGCCGCGGUAAUACGUAGGUCCCGAGCGUUGUCCGGAUUUAUUGGGCGUAAAGCGAGCGCAGGCGGUUUGAUAAGUCUGAAGUUAAAGGCUGUGGCUCAACCAUAGUUCGCUUUGGAAACUGUCAAACUUGAGUGCAGAAGGGGAGAGUGGAAUUCCAUGUGUAGCGGUGAAAUGCGUAGAUAUAUGGAGGAACACCGGUGGCGAGAGCGGCUCUCUGGUCUGUAACUGACGCUGAGGCUCGAAAGCGUGGGGAGCGAACAGGAUUAGAUACCCUGGUAGUCCACGCCGUAAACGAUGAGUGCUAGGUGUUGGAUCCUUUCCGGGAUUCAGUGCCGCAGCUAACGCAUUAAGCACUCCGCCUGGGGAGUACGACCGCAAGGUUGAAACUCAAAGGAAUUGACGGGGGCCCCCACAAGCGGUGGAGCAUGUGGUUUAAUUCGAAGCAACGCGAAGAACCUUACCAGGUCUUGACAUCCCGAUGCUAUUUCUAGAGAUAGAAAGUUACUUCGGUACAUCGGUGACAGGUGGUGCAUGGUUGUCGUCAGCUCGUGUCGUGAGAUGUUGGGUUAAGUCCCGCAACGAGCGCAACCCCUAUUGUUAGUUGCCAUCAUUCAGUUGGGCACUCUAGCGAGACUGCCGGUAAUAAACCGGAGGAAGGUGGGGAUGACGUCAAAUCAUCAUGCCCCUUAUGACCUGGGCUACACACGUGCUACAAUGGUUGGUACAACGAGUUGCGAGUCGGUGACGGCGAGCUAAUCUCUUAAAGCCAAUCUCAGUUCGGAUUGUAGGCUGCAACUCGCCUACAUGAAGUCGGAAUCGCUAGUAAUCGCGGAUCAGCACGCCGCGGUGAAUACGUUCCCGGGCCUUGUACACACCGCCCGUCACACCACGAGAGUUUGUAACACCCGAAGUCGGUGAGGUAACCUUUUGGAGCCAGCCGCCUAAGGUGGGACAGAUGAUUGGGGUGAAGU